GAAGAGAGAGUUAAAGAGCACGUGAAAUCGGUAAGGUGGAAACGGAUAGAGUUGACGUAUAUGGCUUGUAUUCAACUGUUGGAUUAUGCGUAACAAUGGGUUGUUUUUUGCGUUGACCGAUUUAAUAUACCGCUAUUUUCGGAUGGUGUUGUUAUGUUGGAUUGGUUUGACGCGCAGUCCAUUGGUGUUUACGUUUUUUAGCGGUGCAUUUACAAGUCAAUGUGCGCUGGGACAUGCGCGAUUUUCGGUCGUCGAAAGAGUUUUGGUGCAAGAGGUUACUUUUUUAGUAAUUGAAAAAUUACAAAAGUAAAACCGUGCCCCUCAUUGAGGCGAUUCGUCGUGCAUGUAGUACUAAAAUUUAUGGUCAUUUAUUAAAGGAUGGCAUUUUUCGAGAUGCGAACAUUUAUAUUUAAUUGUAUUUGUUGGUUAUACGAGUCGCAUGCGACGCGUAUAAUUUUUUUCUUUAUUAUAUUAAAUUUCUAUUUUUAUAGUAAAGAAAAAUAAAAUCGAUACGAUUAUUUAAAGGUUUCCCACAUUCCUUUAUCCCGGUGUAAAAGUCAAUCAUCUAUCCGACCCGUCUUGAAACACGGACCAAGGAGUUUAACGUAUACGCGAGUCAUUGGGUGUUAAAAACCUAAAGGCGUAAUGAAAGUAAAUGUAUUCUUUGUUUAAUACAAAUAUGCGAUCUCAUAAAUUUCGAUUUACGAGCGCAGCAUAGCCCCGUUUUUGUCGCAUGCGACGGAGCGGAGGAAGAGCGUAUGCGUUGAGACCCGAAAGAUGGUGAACUAUGCCUGAGCAGGACGAAGCCAGAGGAAACUCUGGUGGAAGUCCGAAUCGGUUCUGACGUGCAAAUCGAUCGUCUGACUUGGGUAUAGGGGCGAAAGACUAAUCGAACUAUC
rnacentral:rRNA from 2 species